UAUUCUGCCCCAUGGGGAAGGAUGAGAAGCUUCGACUAAGGUUCGACUCGAGCGAAGCGAGAGAACGCUGCCGCAGGCAACGGCCCGAAGGGCGAGGAGCGAUAGCGACGAGUUAUCCUUCCCCCACCACCA
rnacentral:sRNA from 1 species